rnacentral:lncRNA from 1 species
UUCUUCUGAGACUAAAUUAUCAACUCUAACUCCUCCUAGAGCUUUAACUCUACAGACUCCAAACUCAGCCCAUAUCUUCAGACUGAUCUGAAGUUAGUUGCUAUAUCUUUUCUAACUGAUUGGACUUACGGUUUUCAUAAAAAUGAAUGUUAAAAAUCAUAAAAAUCCCAUAGACUUACAUUGAAAAGUCUGCUCACCAGAACAUUCCGUCAAAUUCCAACUGUCAAAAUUCAAAUCUAAACACACUGAAGCCCAUUAGACUCAAUCAGACUUGCCUUCUAAGUACUAUUUCUAACCCAUUCAAACUGAUUCAAACUCAUCUAUCUAUUAAUCUAUCUAUUUAUCUAUCUAUAUAUCAUCUGACUAUUUCUUUCUUUCUUCCUUUCUUUCUUUCUUUCUUUAAUCUGACUAUUUCUGUCUAUCUAUCUAUCAUCUGACUAUUUUUUUCUUUCUUUCUUUCUUUCUUUCUUUCUUUCUUUCUUUCUAUCAUCUGACUAUUUCUAUCUAUCUAUCAUCUGACUAUUUUUUUCUUUCUUUCUUUCUUUCUUUCUUUCUUUCUUUCUUUCUAUCAUCUGACUAUUUCUAUCUAUCUAUCAUCUGACUAUUUCUUUCUUUCUUCUUUUCUGUCUUUCUUUCUUUCUUUCUAUAAUCUGACUAUUUCUGUCUAUCUAUCUAUCUAUCUAUCUAUCUAUCAUCUGACUAUUUCUAUCUAUCUAUCAUCUGAAUAUUUCUUUCUUUCUUUCUUUCUUUCUUUCUUUCUUUCUUUCUUUCUUUCUUUCUAUCAUCUGAUUAUUUGUAUCUAUCUAUCUAUCUAUCAUCAUCUGACUAUUUCUAUCUAUUCUAGCGAUAUCUUAAUCAUGCUAGAAAUCUAUCUAUCCUAGUCUAUCUAUCUAUCUAUCUAUCUAUCAUCAGACUAUUUCUAUCUAUCUAUCUAUCUAUUCUAGCGAUAUCUUAAUCAUGCUAGAAAUCUAUCUAUCCUAGCGACAUGCUAAUCAUGCUAAAAACAUACAAACAACAUGAUAGUAACUUCUUAUUCAUGCUAGCAACAUGCUAGUAGCAUGCUAAUCAUGCUAGAAACAUGCUAGCAACAUGCUACUAACUU